rnacentral:tRNA from 2 species
GCCUCUGUAGUUCAAUGGACAGAACAAAAGUUUCCUAAACUUUAGAUUUGGGUUCGAUCCCCGACAGAGGUA